rnacentral:rRNA from 1 species
AGUGAACGCUGGCGGUAGGCCUAACACAUGCCAGUCGAACGGCAGCACAGUAAGAGCUUGCUCUUACGGGUGGCGAGUGGCGGACGGGUGAGGAAUACAUCGGAAUCUACUUUUUCGUGGGGGAUAACGUAGGGAAACUUACGCUAAUACCGCAUACGACCUACGGGUGAAAGCAGGGGAUCUUCGGACCUUGCGCGAUUGAAUGAGCCGAUGUCGGAUUAGCUAGUUGGCGGGGUAAAGGCCCACCAAGGCGACGAUCCGUAGCUGGUCUGAGAGGCUGAUCAGCCACACUGGAACUGAGACACGGUCCAGACUCCUACGGGAGGCCGCAGUGGGGAAUAUUGGACAAUGGGCGCAAGCCUGAUCCAGCCAUACCGCGUGGGUGAAGAAGGCCUUCGGGUUGUAAAGCCCUUUUGUUGGGAAAGAAAAGCAGCAGGUUAAUACCCCGCUGUUCUGACGGUACCCAAAGAAUAAGCACCGGCUAACUUCGUG